rnacentral:rRNA from 1 species
UACAGAGGGUGCGAGCGUUGUCCGGAAUUACUGGGCGUAAAGGGCGCGUAGGCGGCCCGCUAAGUCGAACGUGAAAUCCCCGAGCUCAACUCGGGAACUGCGUCCGAUACUGGUGGGCUUGAAUCCGGGAGAGGGAUGCGGAAUUCCAGGUGUAGCGGUGAAAUGCGUAGAUAUCAGGAAGAACACCCGUGGCGAAGGCGGCUCUCUGGGACGGUACUGACGCUGAGACGCGAAAGCGUGGGGAGCGAGCAGG